ensembl:lncRNA
AUGGAAGGAGCCUCAAGUCCUAGAGCCUUUGCUCCCGAGGAGGCAGCAUCCACUCCCUUGAGGGAUGUCACGGUCCUGGGCUCUGGAGAAACGAGCUGGGGGAAGGCAAGGCAGUUUCCUCCCUGGGAUCCCUUCAUGCUCAAACGUUCCUCUCUCAUCACUCCUGAUCCCGUGUGCCUCUCCCCUGCAGACUGUGGACCCCCAGCCCAGAGACCAGGCUUGGGAUGGGAGCUCCUCCGAUCAGGUUCUGCAGGUUCUCACCAGCCGGAGGCGGAUCGAGGACACGGCCUGUUCAGUCUGUUUACCGAAUGGGAUGCCUCAGUUCCAUCUCUGGGGAGGGCAGCCUUUACGGAUUGUUCUCUUGAGUUCUUGAUGUGCCAGAAAAGUGUUUACAAGCCACACAGCUCAGGAUGGAAGGGGCUCGGCCCUGUUCUGGCCACAACGUGGGAGUGAGCAGGAUAUUAUCCUGGACCCCAGCCUACAGUUCAGGCUGGGGCUGACUGCCCUUGGAGUUAGCCUAGGAUUUGGCAGAAAGAGAUCCAUAGGAGCUGUUUCGGAGCUGGGACUUCUUUGGAAGGGAGUGCACAGCCCCUACUGCACUCAGGAACCUAGGCUGUGGGGCUCAGGGUUAAGAGGUUGGAAGCCAGAAUCUGACACACCGGGCUGUGCACCUCGGGCAAGUCACUGUCCCUCUUGAAGCCUCUGUUUCCUCAUGUGUAAAAUGGGGAUAAGAACACCCUUUCCAGGGAGUUCCCACUGUGGCUCAGUGGGUUAUGAGGCUGACUAAUAUUCCUGAGGAUGCUGGUUCAAUCCCUGCCCUUGCUCAAUGGGUUAAGGAUCCAGUGUUGCUGAGAGCUGUGGGGCAGGUCGAAGAUGCAGCUCGGAUUCUGAGUUGCAGCGGCUGUGGUGUAGGCUGGCAGUUGUAGCUCCGAUUCAACCCCUAGCCAGGGCACUUCCAUAUGCUGUGGGUGCAGCCCUAAAAAGCAAAAAAGAAGAAGAGAAAAAAAAAAAGAAUACUCUUUCCACCGGGCUGCUGUGAGGAUCCAAUGAGAUCUGAAAAUGUUCUGUAAACUGCAGGUCCUACCCUGCAGUGACUUAUUCUUAUGGCCCUGGGGCAGGGGGCCGGGUCUCUAAAGUCUUUGGAGGUUUAGGGAGCUCACAACCCCUCAGUCUUUGGAGAACUGUUGGUCCAGUUCUUUGUUUUGGGUGCCAAAGUCCCUUCCUAAACCCUCCUAAACCCAGCAGAGAUUCCAGCUGGGGCUCCACGGAGCAGCUAUCAGGCUAAUCUCCCUCUUCCCCCACCAGGAGCAGGCCUCAUCCUCAGGCCAAACAGUGACUCAUGUCAGACCAACCCUGGCGGCUACAACCUUUACGAAGGGCCAGCCACACCCUGCUUUCCAGGCCAGCCUCGAGUCUUCUACCCUUUUAGAGCCACAGGGCUCACUUGCAGGUCUGAUUCACUAGUUCAAACAGCCUUUGGCUGCUCUUCGUAGUGGUUCAGGGCUGCUCCUGGUGGGGCGUGUGUGGUGGGGGUGGGGGGCCCCUGUCCUGUUCCUGGAUAAACUGGUAGCCAGAAGAUAGUUUAUUAGGGACUGGUUUCAGAGGCUGCAGGCAAGUCUUCAUCUAGCCACAGGUGAUCCAAGCAAUAAAAGGCAGAGAGCAGGGCUGAGGUUUCUUGGG